UACAGAGGUCUCAAGCGUUGUUCGGAUUCAUUGGGCGUAAAGGGUGCGUAGGUGGCGAGGCAAGUCAGAUGUGAAAUCCCGGGGCUCAACCCCGGAACUGCAUUUGAAACUGCCUUGCUCGAGUACUGGAGAGGAGACUGGAAUUUACGGUGUAGCAGUGAAAUGCGUAGAUAUCGUAAGGAAGACCAGUGGCGAAGGCGAGUCUCUGGACAGUUACUGACACUGAGGCACGAAGGCCAGGGGAGCAAACCGG
rnacentral:rRNA from 1 species